rfam:Triticum aestivum genome assembly, contig: Triticum_aestivum_CS42_TGACv1_scaffold_003882_1AL
CAUAUACUCCCUCCGUCCGGAAAUACUUGUCCUAGAAAUGGUUGUAUCUAGACUUAUUUUAGUUAUAGAUACAUUCGCUUUAUCCAUUUCUAGGACAAGUAUUUUCGGACGGAGGGAGUAAAUC